rnacentral:misc_RNA from 1 species
GUGAAUCAUCAAAUUUUUGAACGCAAAUUGCACUCCCUGGUAUUCCGGGGAGUAUGUCUGUUUGAGGGUCUUUAGAACAAAAAUCGAGGCGUCUCUCUUUUUUUUUAGGGUGAUUUCGUCGGAUUUGAAAUGUUUUUCAAAUGUUAAUUCAUGUCAAAGUGGCUUUAAAUUCAUCCAUUCGGUACGAUUAAAUGGUAUUUA